GGAAGGGUGAGAACCCCCGUUUUGUGCACUCACCCACCAGCCACCACCUGACUGUACACACCAGCAUCGAGUUUUACAUCUUAGCAAACAAGUCACCAUACAAUAUAUCUUGCUGGGGAAAGAGUAGACACGGACUGCUGCAAGAGGUGACUGCAGCAUAACAGAUACUGGACCAUCAAAUAUGCUAGGAAUACGGCUUUUUCCAAAAGCGACCUUUCACUGAGUGCUCACCAGAGGCGCUGAAAUCGCAAGGUGUAUGGCGCUGAUCACUCC
rnacentral:lncRNA from 1 species